AGGUUACUGCUAUCGAGGUUCGACUAAGCCAUGCGAGUCGAAUGUAGCAAUACAUGGCGAACUGCUCAGUAACACGUGGACAACCUGCCCUUAGGACGGGGAUAAACCCGGGAAACUGGGUAUAAUACCCGAUAGGUCUCGAUUGCUGGAAUGCAUCGAGAUUUAAAGCUCCGGCGCCUAAGGAUGGGUCUGCGGCCUAUCAGGUAGUAGUGGGUGUAGCGUACCUACUAGCCUACGACGGGUACGGGUUGUGAGAGCAAGAGCCCGGAGAUGGAUUCUGAGACACGAAUCCAGGCCCUACGGGGUGCAGCAGGCGCGAAAACUUUACAAUGCUGGCAACAGCGAUAAGGGAACCUCGAGUGCCAGGUUACAAAUCUGGCUGUCGAGAUGCCUAAAAAGCAUUUCAUAGCAAGGGCCGGGCAAGACCGGUGCCAGCCGCCGCGGUAACACCGGCGGCUCGAGUGGUAACCGUUAUUAUUGGGUCUAAAGGGUCUGUAGCCGGCCGGAUAAGUCUCUUGAGAAAUCUGGCAGCUUAACUGUCAGGCUUUCAGGAGAUACUGUCUGGCUCGAGGCCGGGAGAGGUGAGAGGUACUUCAGGGGUAGGGGUGAAAUCUUGUAAUCCUUGAAGGACCACCAGUGGCGAAGGCGUCUCACCAGAACGGACCUGACGGCAAGGGACGAAAGCUAGGGGCACGAACCGGAUUAGAUACCCGGGUAGUCCUAGCCGUAAACGAUACUCGCUAGGUGUCGGCCACGGUGCGACCGUUGUCGGUGCCGUAGGGAAGCCGUGAAGCGAGCCACCUGGGAAGUACGGCCGCAAGGCUGAAAC
rnacentral:rRNA from 1 species